AUUGAACGCUAGCGGGAUGCCUUACACAUGCAAGUCGAACGGCAGCACGGACUUCGGUCUGGUGGCGAGUGGCGAACGGGUGAGUAAUGUAUCGGAACGUGCCUAGUAGCGGGGGAUAACUACGCGAAAGCGUAGCUAAUACCGCAUACGCCCUACGGGGGAAAGCAGGGGAUCGCAAGACCUUGCACUAUUAGAGCGGCCGAUAUCGGAUUAGCUAGUUGGUGGGGUAACGGCUCACCAAGGCGACGAUCCGUAGCUGGUUUGAGAGGACGACCAGCCACACUGGGACUGAGACACGGCCCAGACUCCUACGGGAGGCAGCAGUGGGGAAUUUUGGACAAUGGGGGAAACCCUGAUCCAGCCAUCCCGCGUGUGCGAUGAAGGCCUUCGGGUUGUAAAGCACUUUUGGCAGGAAAGAAACGCUCCGGGUUAAUACCCCGGGAAACUGACGGUACCUGCAGAAUAAGCACCGGCUAACUACGUGCCAGCCGCCGCCGUAA
rnacentral:rRNA from 1 species